rnacentral:rRNA from 1 species
UGGAUGAACGCUAGCUACAGGCUUAACACAUGCAAGUCGAGGGGCAGCAUGGUCUUAGCUUGCUAAGGCCGAUGGCGACCGGCGCACGGGUGAGUAACACGUAUCCAACCUGCCGUCUACUCUUGGACAGCCUUCUGAAAGGAAGAUUAAUACAAGAUGGCAUCAUGAGUCCACAUGUUCACAUGAUUAAAGGUAUUCCGGUAGACGAUGGGGAUGCGUUCCAUUAGAUAGUAGGCGGGGUAACGGCCCACCUAGUCUUCGAUGGAUAGGGGUUCUGAGAGGAAGGUCCCCCACAUUGGAACUGAGACACGGUCCAAACUCCUACGGGAGGCAGCAGUGAGGAAUAUUGGUCAAUGGGCGAGAGCCUGAACCAGCCAAGUAGCGUGAAGGAUGACUGCCCUAUGGGUUGUAAACUUCUUUUAUAAAGGAAUAAAGUCGGGUAUGGAUACCCGUUUGCAUGUACUUUAUGAAUAAGGAUCGGCUAACUCCGUGCCAGCAGCCGCGGUAAUACGGAGGAUCCGAGCGUUAUCCGGAUUUAUUGGGUUUAAAGGGAGCGUAGAUGGAUGUUUAAGUCAGUUGUGAAAGUUUGCGGCUCAACCGUAAAAUUGCAGUUGAUACUGGAUAUCUUGAGUGCAGUUGAGGCAGGCGGAAUUCGUGGUGUAGCGGUGAAAUGCUUAGAUAUCACGAAGAACUCCGAUUGCGAAGGCAGCCUGCUAAGCCGCAACUGACAUUGAGGCUCGAAAGUGUGGGUAUCAAACAGGAUUAGAUACCCUGGUAGUCCACACGGUAAACGAUGAAUACUCGCUGUUUGCGAUAUACAGCAAGCGGCCAAGCGAAAGCGUUAAGUAUUCCACCUGGGGAGUACGCCGGCAACGGUGAAACUCAAAGGAAUUGACGGGGGCCCGCACAAGCGGAGGAACAUGUGGUUUAAUUCGAUGAUACGCGAGGAACCUUACCCGGGCUUAAAUUGCAGAUGAAUUACGGUGAAAGCCGUAAGCCGCAAGGCAUCUGUGAAGGUGCUGCAUGGUUGUCGUCAGCUCGUGCCGUGAGGUGUCGGCUUAAGUGCCAUAACGAGCGCAACCCUUGUUGUCAGUUACUAACAGGUUCCGCUGAGGACUCUGACAAGACUGCCAUCGUAAGAUGUGAGGAAGGUGGGGAUGACGUCAAAUCAGCACGGCCCUUACGUCCGGGGCUACACACGUGUUACAAUGGGGGGUACAGAGGGCCGCUACCACGCGAGUGGAUGCCAAUCCCAAAAACCUCUCUCAGUUCGGACUGGAGUCUGCAACCCGACUCCACGAAGCUGGAUUCGCUAGUAAUCGCGCAUCAGCCACGGCGCGGUGAAUACGUUCCCGGGCCUUGUACACACCGCCCGUCAAGCCAUGGGAGCCGGGGGUACCUGAAGUGCGUAACCGCGAGGAGCGCCCUAGGGUAAAAC